CAGCCGCCGCGGGAAUACGUAGGGUGCAAGCGUUACUCGGAAUUACUGGGCGUAAAGCGUGCGUAGGUGGUGGUUUAAGUCCGUUGUGAAAGCCCUGGGCUCAACCUGGGAAUUGCAGUGGAUACUGGGUCACUAGAGUGUGGUAGAGGAUAGUGGAAUUUCCGGUGUAGCAGUGAAAUGCGUAGAGAUCGGAAGGAACAUCUGUGGCGAAGGCGACUAUCUGGGCCAACACUGACACUGAGGCACGAAAGCGUGGGGAGCAAACAGGAUUAGAUACCCCAGUAGUCCCUGUCUCUUAUAC
rnacentral:rRNA from 1 species